rnacentral:rRNA from 1 species
AGAGUUUGAUCCUGGCUCAGAAUGAACGCUGGCGGCGGGCUUAAUGCAUGCAAGUCGAGCGCCCCUUCCGGGGACCGGGGGACGGGUGACUAACACGUGGGAACGUACCCUUUCGUCAGCAACCCCCGAUACAGGGAACAGCUAUGGAAACAUGCGCCCUACCGGGAAAGGAAUGAUCGGCCCGCGCCUGAUUAAGUAGCUGGUGGGGUAAUGGACGACCCAGCCGACCAUCAGUAACUGGGCUGAGAGGAUGAUCACCCACACUGGGACUGAGACACGGUGUGAACUCCUACCCCCCCGCAAUGGUGGGGAAUCUUAGACCAUGGUCCAAACCCUGAUCUAGCCAUGCCACGUGACCCAUUAAAGCCUUAUCGUAGUCAACCUCUCUCCCCGGAUAAAAAAAGGCCUGUGGUUGGAAAAUCCUUUCCGGCUAAAUCAGUGCCGACGGUACCCCUGGAACAGAGGGGGCUAGCGUUGUUCCAAAUUACUGGGCGUAAACGCGCGCGUAAGCCGGCUGUUGGAUUUGCGGUGAAAUCCCCGGCCUCAACCCUGGAACUGCCUCCGAUACUGGCACUCUAGAGCACGGCAGAAGACGUUGUACUGUACUGUGUGUAUGUGAGAUGCCUAAAUAUACUGCAGAUUACCGAUGACCAAUGCGACUGGCUGACCCGUUUCUGACGCUGAUGUGCGAAAGCGU